rnacentral:misc_RNA from 1 species
AGAUAAAGGCUCAGUUGAGUUGAGAUUAGGUGAAAUAUUUUGAGUGUGCUUGAUCAAUUUUCUCAAGAAGAAGAUGGUGCAAACACAAGAAAUUUAAAGAUAAAUCCUUCAGCCUUUCCUAUUCUUUCAUAAUUCUUAUACUAAAAGAAGGAACUGAAUUUAGUAAUACUUUCUGUCAAUAAGUUCACGAUCCUCAUAGUAGUA